rnacentral:rRNA from 1 species
AUUGAACGCUGGCGGCAGGCUUAACACAUGCGAGUCGAGCGGUAGCACAAGAGAGCUUGCUCUCUGGGUGACGAGCGGCGGACGGGUGAGUAAUGUCUGGGAAACUGCCUGAUGGAGGGGGAUAACUACUGGAAACGGUAGCUAAUACCGCAUAACGUCGCAAGACCAAAGAGGGGGACCUUCGGGCCUCUUGCCAUCAGAUGUGCCCAGAUGGGAUUAGCUAGUAGGUGGGGUAAUGGCUCACCUAGGCGACGAUCCCUAGCUGGUCUGAGAGGAUGACCAGCCACACUGGAACUGAGACACGGUCCAGACUCCUACGGGAGGCAGCAGUGGGGAAUAUUGCACAAUGGGCGCAAGCCUGAUGCAGCCAUGCCGCGUGUGUGAAGAAGGCCUUCGGGUUGUAAAGCACUUUCAGCGAGGAGGAAGGUGGUGAACUUAAUACGUUCAUCAAUUGACGUUACUCGCAGAAGAAGCACCGGCUAACUCCGUG